rnacentral:rRNA from 1 species
AGAGUUUGAUCCUGGCUCAGAAUCAACGCUGGCGGCGUGCCUAACACAUGCAAGUCGCACGAGAAAGUGGAGCAAUCCAUGAGUACAGUGGCGCACGGGUGAGUAACACGUGAAUGAUCUACCUCCGAGUGGGGAAUAACUGAGAGAAAUCUUGGCUAAUACCGCAUAAUACCCACGGGUCAAAGCAGCAAUGCGCUUGGAGAGGAGUUCGCGGCCGAUUAGCUAGUUGGCGGGGUAAUGGCCCACCAAGGCGAUGAUCGGUAUCCGGCCUGAGAGGGCGCACGGACACACUGGAACUGAAACACGGUCCAGACUCCUACGGGAGGCAGCAGUGGGGAAUUUUGCGCAAUGGGGGAAACCCUGACGCAGCAACGCCGCGUGGAGGAUGAAAUCCCUUGGGAUGUAAACUCCUUUCGAUAGGGAAGAUAAUGACGGUACCUAUAGAAGAAGCCCCGGCUAACUUCGUGCCAGCAGCCGCGGUAAUACGAGGGGGGCAAGCGUUGUUCGGAAUUAUUGGGCGUAAAGGGUGCGUAGGCGGUUUGGCAAGUCUUAUGUGAAAUCUAUGGGCUCAACUCAUAGUCUGCAUGAGAAACUGCCGGGCUUGAGUAUGGGAGAGGUGAGUGGAAUUUCCGGUGUAGCGGUGAAAUGCGUAGAUAUCGGAAGGAACACCUGUGGCGAAAGCGGCUCACUGGACCAUAACUGACGCUGAUGCGCGAAAGCUAGGGGAGCAAACAGGAUUAGAUACCCUAGUAGUCC